UACGGCGGUACCACCCUGAACGCGCCCGGUCUUGGCUGAUCUCGGACGCUAAGCUCCGAUCUCAGGCCUGGUUAGUACUUGGUGACCCCAGCAACCCCAGCCUGCUGUGA
rnacentral:rRNA from 1 species